AUCUACGUGGCCCAAUUGGAUGAGGCAUUUGCCUACGAAGCGGGAGAUUGCGGUUCGAGUCCCGUAGUGGACU